rnacentral:lncRNA from 1 species
ACAUCUAGAAGUUAUCUCCUCUCUCCAAAGUUGUCUUUUCUCUGCCUUAUAAAGGUAUCUUUCUUUGUUUUUUUCUUCUUAUACUUCCGUAGCUUAUUAUUUUUAGACUAAUACGAUAGAAUAAUUAGAUUAUCAAUUAGUCUACGUAUUUAUACUUUAGACCUUAACCAUAGCUAUUUUUCUAUCGUAAAACAGCUUGGCCUCAUUUUUCAAAUAGCCAUAACUUUUUACUCGUUUGUCCAAAACCAACGCCCACUUUUUCAUUAUGAUCCCCUCUAUCCAGUAAUCCAACCCAAACAUGUUUUUGAAAUUUUGAAAUUUCGAAUUUUAUUUAGAUUCACAUUCAAACUUCUUUUGAACAUAACUUGAGUUUCGUAACUCUGAUUUAGUUGAUUCUUUUUGCAAAUCGAAGCUCUUGACCUAAACUUUGUGAUAAGGCCAAAUUCACAUAAUUUUGGUACUGUUAGAAAUUGGUUUAUGUUGCAAGAGUUAUUUUCUUGGUUUUGAUGUUUUUCGAACUGUCUUCUUCGUUCUUCCCGAUCUUCUGAGUGAUUGCUUAUGUGUGGUUACUACUGCUUGCUCAUGAUUGAUUGAACGGAGUAUGACGAGUAGAACUAUCAAGAGUUUUGAGUGCGAAUCAUCUUCAUCAACAGUACAGGCAAGUUCACACUUUGAUCAUACCCCUUUAUCACCCAGUUUUUAUGCAUUAGUUCCAAUCCUCAAACAUUGCAUGAUUAGGAUGUCAUUAACAUGUGGGUUGGGAAGUAGUUGAUGAGGUAGAACCUAUUACCCUAUUACAUUCAAACCCUUGGGAGUUACUUCUACGCGUUGCUUAAUUUGCUAUGCUAUCCUCGUAGACGUGGUUUGGGUGAGUGAAAUCCAUGACAGAUGUGAGAUUGUUAAUUAAUGGUUCAACUUAAGGUGGCAACUUAAAUACACAUCUGGGUGGAUUGAGGCACCUGGAGUACCCAGUGUUGCCUGUAAUUUUGAUAAUCCCGGAGUACCCGUGUGAUUUUCCUAUGGACCGCCACCCAGGCUCAAAGGGAUCAUAAGAUUAUUCAUGCUACAAACUUCCGUGUGCAGCCACAAGCUAUUAUGGGCUCUAGCAUAGUUGAGUAAGUUGCGUGAAGCUCUUGAAGAGGUGGAUCAGCAGGUAGAGGGUUGUAGGUUUGGUAUGGUCUGCCCGGAGUAGAGAGUUAAUGUUUUUGAAAGACUGUGUCUCGGUCACCGUUUCUCAAACACCAUGUAGUGCGAGAAAUCCAACGGAGGCGAUCGAGUCUUGUGGGGAAAAGUGCGCAAACCUCUGCAGAGUGUACAAACUAAUCAUGAUUAGCCGUGUCCCCGGUUAUGUACAAUCUUGAGUCUGUGGUACUUGGAUUAUCCUACUGAUCUCAUCACGUUACUUAAAUAAUUUGUUGGGUUAAUGAUUAUUAUUUUGGGAUUGAGUUGGAGGAACCUUCUCAAUAUUUUCAACCAACUUUAUAGUUAAAUAAAAUAUAUUCCUUUGCAGUAGGGAAAAAUUGGCUUUUCGCAAAAACUAUAACCAUAGAGCUUUUCCACCAGCCAAAUAUGCAUGUAGUGAUAGCCUUUAUUCAUCAUUCUCCUAUUGUGUGAAUUUGCCAGUACAUUCAAUGUACUGACCCUUUGUGGCUGCAAUGUCUCAUGUUGCAGGACUUCUUACGACGAGUAAGUGAUACGUUAGGGUUACGAUUUCUACACUCAACUUUACCGUUGGUGUUGAUGGGAAUCCACAACCUUUGUUACUUCCGCUAUUUGGAUUGAGGUAAUAGUAUUUAUGUUAUUUUAUACAUGUGAUUUACCUCUGUUAUAAAUCCUCGAGUACUGUGUGUCAGCAUACCGAUCCAGGGAUGACACUUAAGCACAGAGACUUGACCAUCUGAGGUCAGGUCGCUACAAGAUGGUAUCAGAGCACAUGUUGACUGUAGGAUGUGACCCUUGAGAUUGGCAAGCCCACAGGAAAGAUUUUCUCUAAAACUUAAUUUUAAAAGAUCUUUUACCUCUCUUAUCUUUGGAGCUUAUUCAAAUAUUCCUUUUAGUGAGACCAUACCCCUUUUCCCUUUUGACCAUGAAGAUUCGAUUGAUGAGACCACUCCAAGAAGUACAAGAUAUCAGACAAGUAAGAUCAUUUCGGAAUGAAGAGGAUUUUAUCGUGCAUUAUAAUAAUGGAAACUACAACGGGUGAAGACUCCGAAGACUAGGAGAAUUUAAGGCCAUGUAGAAUUUUCCAGAUUUGUAUGACCUAGGAAGGCACCCCUUAUGGAACUUGGCAGACUAUUGAAGCUAUCAAUACCGGGAUCAAGGUGUAUCGGAGAAAUACUGAAAUAAGGAGCAUGAGAACUCGAAGUUUGGAAAACUCUAAGGAAGGAGAUAUCAACUAUGGAAUGAUAGCUCAUGGAAAUGUCAAGAGCAGAAACAUGGUUAUCCGUGAUUUCAUCGCCCGCUUAUGCUAUUUGUCACCGGGCUGAGUUAAGCAGGCAUUUCUUCGGAAGGAUUGGAUGGAAGAAGGAUGAUGGAGCACCUAUCAGUAAGAUGAAGUUUUAACCUUAGCUGGUGUAUCGCCAGAAUCUGGAGUAGUACAUCGAGAAGUUUAAGAUGGACUUGUAGGAAGCUGUAUAUGACAAGGAAUCAUUUCGUGAAGAACUCAAAACCCAGAAGCUAAAGUUAGCCAAGCUAGAGGAGCAAAACCUCGAUAUACCAGAGACUUGUCAAGAACUUAAGGACAGUAGGACCAUGGUUCAUGCCAAGGAUGUUGAAACCCAGAAGUUGGAACGCCACUCCAGAAAUAUUAAAGGAUGUCACGAGAGACUUCGCGUCAACAAAGAUGAUCUGGCAAAAGAACUUGAGAAGGACAAGCAUGAUCGGAAGAAGCCCAUCAGAGAUAUGAACAAAACUGGAAGAGUUUGGCGACGUUCAAGAUUUAUUGACCUUUAGAAGACCAAACCCCUGUUAUAUACCUACGUUAGAUGCAAUGAUUGUGAGUUGUCAUUUGUUUGAUGUUUUUCCAACACCCACAAUAAAAUCUGUCUUUUCAAAACCAUUGUUUGUAUUGUGUGCAUCCCUCUCCCUCUCUCUUAUCUUACCCCAAACCCACAUGGACCCAAUAGAGGAUGAAUGGAGAUGAGCUUGUAUUUUCGGGACCCGAUGAGUCAGUUGGAGACAGACUGAUGGAUUCAGAACAUGGAGGAUCACAUGGAGAAUAACCCUAUAGUUGGAAAUGAUAUGACCCAGCAUGCUCUUCAGUGCUUUGAAAGAGGUGUUGCUACUUUGUGGAGGAUGUACCAAACCAUGAAUGGAUGGCAAGGAGUAACCACUUGGAGAGAAUUAAAAUUGACUCUGCAAAGACUCACCUUGUGUCUCAGAAGUUGAAGCCUUAUGGAAAGGAUAUGAGGAAACCUUGUGCAUGCAAGAUUUGUGGAGAAAUAGGACACACCCAUAAAGAACACAAGGAUGAAAGCCCUAAUUAUGAAGGAAGUCACCCAGUUGAAGAAUGCCCAAUUAGGCAGAUUACUUGUUUCUUGUGUGAAGGGAUUACCCACUAUCCUACUCAGUGUCACAUUUACUACAUGGUACGAAGGACCGUACAGCAGAAGAAAGAAGUAAAGAAAGGAGCCCUUAUGGAAAUUUUAGAAGAACCAGUGAUGAAGGAAGAUGUGGAGGACACACCUAAAGAGGACCCGAGUAAACCCUGCACUAAGUCUUGCUAUUCAUGUGGAGAAGAAGGACACAUCUCUCAAAAUUGUUUGAAUGGGGAUCUAGUAGAAUUCCCACGGAGGAAGUAGAGUAUGACCCACAAGAAAUAGAAUCCAUGAUUGGAACGGAAAAGUCCACGAAGAGAAGUAGAUUGGAUACCAGGAAGGACCUGAGUCAUACCACCUAUUACAGGUGCAAGGAGUCAGGGCACUACCUCAGCAGUUGCCCAAAAAGGAAGCCUCAAGACUUUUCAGAAGUAAUAUGUUUUUGUUGUAAUAGAGCAGGGCACUUUGCCAGAGAAUGCCCCAAGGAGAAGGAAACUUGUGCUAGAUAGUUGAGUUUGCAACAAAAGAAAUGGAGUAGUAGGAGUGAGAACAUUUGCUUUUAUAUUGAGGUGUUGAAAUUGAGACAUGUAACGGAAAAGCGAGAGAUUGUAAUCAAUUGAGAGUGAAUAAAGUUAGCAUCGUUGGUACUGAUAUGGAUUUUAUGAGUUGUUACUCUAUGAAGAAGGAUUUUGACCAUUUCUGAGGAUAUGAGAAAUAUGGUCUAUGGAAGAUUUGUGCAUUUUAAGGGUGGUAGGACCCUGUAAGAACCCUUGACCCCUGGAAAAGAUAAGGAUACUCCACUGAGUCGAUUUCGGACAAAAUGAAUACGAGUUUUGUCUCGAUAUGUGUGAUACUCCAAGAGUAUGUGGGAUGAAGUUGGAGACCAUCAGUUGUUUGGACAAAAUGUGAUCAAGGAGUCAGAAGAGAAUGUUAAGUUGAUUCGAGAUAGACUGAAGGUAGCUCAGUCCAGGCAGAAGAGUUAUGCAGACUUAAAAAUGCAAGGAGGUAGUCUAUGAAAUUGGAGAUAGAGCAUGUCUUCAUGUCUUCCCUCUGCGAGGAGUUAAACAAUUUGGAGUUAAGGGAAAGUUAGCCCCGAGAUUUGUAGGACCAUCCUGACUCUUGGAGCGUAUGGGAGAAGUGGACAACAAGUUGGAGUCACCCGAAGGACUGUCAGGAGUUCAUGAUGUGUUUCAUGUUUCCCAGUUGAAGAAGUGCCAUGCAGAGAUGGCCAAUAUUCCCCGGUAAGUACGCUUGAACCUGGAAAGGAUAAUGAUGUACCACGAAGUGGAGUAUGGACUCCAUAAGUAUAAGUUUAUAUUUCCGUAUGUGGGAUAACCCUCGAGGAUGAAGAGAUGAAUUACUAUUGGAUAUAAAGGAGGUAUGAUGUUGGUAUUAUGGAACGAUUGUAACUCUGUGAUGAGUUUGAAUAAUCACGUCUUAGUUUGGUACCAACAGAAGGAAGAGAGACAGUACAAAUGGAAGGAUUUAAGAAUGCCAGGAAGCUGGAUGUUUGGAAAAUAAUCAGUUGCCCCUAGGAUGAGCUCAAGGUUUACAAGUGAUGAGAUGGGCCAUAACCCACAGGCCCCAGGACCUGCCAAGGAACAAGCACAGUCUUGCUGAAGGAAAAACCAUGGAAGAAGUUACGUUUAUCGGCAGACAAUCUUAUAGAGUAAUGCAAAACCCGAGGGUUGUGAAGGGACGAUAGAUGUUUGUUUGGCUUGCAGAAUUAAUGGAUUUAACCGAACUUGGUUCAUCGACAAGAGAAAUUCUGCAAUGCUUGUGAGGAUGACCGAGUGUUAGAAUGCGAGAUUCACUAAACCGUAUACAGGGUAAUGAUUUGGGUGCGGGAUGGAUUGAUCACCAUACCAACUUACUCUUAUUAUUCGCCUUGCUAUAUGCGAUGGUAAAUCUGAGAGACUUACCUAUAGUAGAGAGACAACGAUCAAACCUUGUUUAAACCUUAGAAUGGUAUAGCAAGUUUUCCCUUGUACAAGGCAGCUUUUGCCAACCGUAGGUUAUACGGUGAGGAUCAACCCAGACCCAUUUCCUGCAGGAGAAACCAUAAAUUGUUGACCACCAUGAGAUAUCGAUUAGUUGUUUAGUACUGGUGCCAGACCCGUCAGGUAGGAAGACCCAGUCUCGGAAUAACCUUACCAAGAUGAAAGGACAAAAGAAUUGAGGAAAAGGUUAUGUCGUUACCGGAAGAGCCCACAGAAAGAAAUUAUACUGAAGAUCUGAGAAGACCGGCCCUAUCAAGAAUAAGGAUGGAGUAUAUGAGUAUUGAUGGGACCGUAACAAUGUUUCUAAGGGUGGUAGCACCCGAGACCCCGGAUACAAUCGAUGGAUUUUGAGAAGACCCCGAACCUAACCUAUUUCUUUUUAGCCUCUCCGAAUCUCGAGAACGAGGUUCAUUUUAAGGGUGGUAGGUUUGUAACAUCCCAAAAUUCUAAAUUUUGGAAUGUUAUAAUAAAUAAAUAGAUUUGAUUGAUUGUUUGAUUGAUUGUCUGAAAGUGAGUGAAUUCGAAACUUUUUGAAAGUUAAAUGAGAGGGAAUAAAAGGACUUUCCCAAACUUUCAUAUUUGCUUUCUGAUCUCCAUGAAUUCAAAUUCUUUUCAAAUAAUUGAAUUUAAUUUGGAAAUAUUUCAAUUCAUAAACUUCAUGCAGCUCAAUGAUUUUCAUGAGAGAAGAUAAAAUGACUUCUUCAAAUUAUAUGAAAUAUGAGUUUGGAGCUUCAAAGAAUUAAAUUCAAAGUUCUUUUGAAUUUAUUUUCAAUUUGGAGUUAUUUGAGUUUUAUUCAAAUUAUUUUCUCCAAAAAUAAAAUAUAUGGAAAUUAGUGUAACAUGAUUCCCUACAACAGAAAAUUGGAGAGAACUAAAUUUGAAAUCAUUUUGGUAUUUUUAAAAUGAUUUUUGUUGGAUCUUAUUAGAGCAGGAGCACUGUUGGAAUUAUUAGAAUUUGUGUGUAUUUUUUUAAUGCUAGAAAAAUGUUCAUGUCAUAGAAAAUCUUUUUCUGAGAACUUUGAUAUAUAAUAUGCCUAUAUAAAUUUUUUUAUUUUAUCUUUGCUAUUCGGUUUUCCUUCUGUUUCUAUUAAAAAAAACGGUACGUGCGGCCCAUAUUUAUUUAUCGCCUACAUGCGCAGUAUAGUAGCUUCUGGCCCCAUUGUUUUUCUCUCUCUUAAAUGGGCCAGGCCCAGCCAACCUUUUCAUUUAUUUAGUCCGAAUUUUGUUUAAAAAAAUAGCAGCCGCAUGUGCGCGCGGCCGGCCGAAGGCCUUUAGGCCCAUCCGCCUCUUUUCUUCUUUGUUUCGUAUAUUUUCGUUUACGUUUAGUCCCACAUUGUGUAGCCUUUGACCCUAAGCCUCUUUUCCACCGAUAAAUAGAGACCCAUAGAGCCUCCAAAAAUCAUCCGAUUCGGGUUAAAUCAAUAUUUUGGUUUGACUAGAUUCAUUUAAGAAAAAUAUUUUUCUCCUCUCCGACGCGACUUCUGGAAGUUGUCUCCUCUCUCCAAAGUUGUCUUUUCUCUGCCUUGUAAAGGUAUCUCUCUUUGUUUUUUUCUUCUUAUACUUCCGUAGCUUAUUAUUUUUAGACUAAUAUGAUAUAAUAAUUAGAUUAUCAAUUAGUCUACGUAUUUAUACUUUAGACCUUAAUCGUAGCUAUUUUUCUAUCGUAAAACAGCUUGGCCCUGAUUUUUCAAAUAACCAUAACUUUUUACUCGUUUGUCCAAAUCCAACGAAACCAACGCCC